AUUCGAGAAAAAUCUUCGCAAAGAAGCUGAGCCGUGCGCUCGCAUAAUCGUGUCAUUUCAUCCUCAUGAACUUCUAGGGAUUGCGUUUGGGAGAUUCAAAAUUGGAAAAAAAAAGUGUCUCAAAACGGCAAAUUGAUGCCCAAUCUAGACCAACACAGCACAAAGCUCAAGUUCUUCAACGAAUUGACCCUUUCGUCGAGGAAAUUCUCAUCACUGCUGCUCAUGUCACCUUCUAUCAGUUCAAUAUCGAACUCAGCCAAUGGGUUCGACGCUCUCUCUAUAAAUACACAUUUACAUAUGUUAUUACUGGCUCCAGUUCUCGCCCUCAUUUGUUUUUGGGCUGAGUCGCAAGGACGUGGAAGGAUCUCUCUGUCAUCAAGAGGAAUACACAGCCUCGUUUUCAGUUCAUCGUGAUGAACCGGCGGAAUACAGGUUUGUGCAUGUUUAUAUACUUCAUUCUCUUUUGUUGUAUGAAUUAUUGGAUUGGUCUAUUUUUUAUAGUAAUGAGAAAAAAGUAUGGAGUUCAGUUUAGUUAAUGUGAUUAUUGGGAAUGCUACUAACGUGAUUUGAUAUCCUUUUUUGUCUUGUCUACUGAUUGACCACUGAGAUGUGGUGCAAGAUGAAUAUUCUUAUCUUUGUUCACUUGAUUUUUAAGUAUUUCAUCUUCUAAUUUCCAUUUGUGUACCCAUCUUACAGCGUAAAAAAAAAAUGAAAUACUUAGGUCUAUCUUCAAAAUCUAAGUGAAAGGCCUUGUCAAUUGUCAUUAACUUGUUGCAAAUAAUGGGAUUCAAGUUUUAUCAGGAUAGACGGAUACAAGACGAUAUGUCAAUAGAUUUUUCAAGUACUGAGAAUCAGAUGUGUCUCGUUGAAAGCCUGAUAUUUAGCUUUAUUUUCAAAGAUACAUACAAAUAGAGAUCUAGUUGCAUUUUACUUUUUAAUAGAUUAAAAGUCAUAAUCUUUAAUGAUGGGAAGGUGAUAUCGGCUUAGGUGAUGAUGUAAAAGACUUAAACACAUCAAACAAAAGGUUAUAAGUGGACAGUCAACAUUUUGUUUGAGAAGUUUCUCAUUGUGAUUAAUUUUAAUACGAUAUCAAUGAAGGGGGUACUAUCUUGUUUUCAGUUUGAAAUUUUUGUUCUUUAGCAUAUUUUUUCACUUGUUGGACAGCAUUUUGUUCAUUGUAUUAAAUAGAUCAUUCAAUAACACUGCUACUUGGUCUUUCUGUAAAAUUUAUAGGAUAGCUUUUGUACUCUAUACAAAUUGAUCAUUUGGUAUCAUCAGUGAACUUUUUUGUGCAGUUCUUAGAUCUUAAAUAGGAUUUUAUUUCACAUCACUGGUUUGUAAUUUUUUGCGAAUUUUAAAUGAUUCCGAUACCUUCAAAUUACCUGAUUACGAUCAUGAAUUAGUUUGUUUGCUUGAAUGAGCUUCAUUAUGUUGGUGCAACCAGAUAAUUUGUUUGAAAUUCUUUUGGGGGACUUUGAGUAUGAGGUCCAGGUUCCAUAUCUCUUAUAUCGAAAUGCUGCCCAAGAAAUGAAUGGCAUUUGGUUCUACAAUGCAAGUGAAUGUGAAGAAGUUGCAAAUCUUUGUAGCAGGUAAAAUUGCCAUCUUUGAUGAAGGCUGUUUAUUGAGAUUUCAUAUUGCCUUAGUUAUAUGGAUGCUUGUGAUUGGCAUCGUUGAUUGAAGUAUCAUCCUGGCAUGGGCUUUUUGAUUUGUAAUUGGUUGCCUGUUGACCACUUUUUUGGUGAUCUGCAUCUUGUAAAGCCUUUUUGUUACUUUUCUUCUCUGUAAUUUGGCUAUGCUUUCACAAUUAUUCACUGACCAAAAUGGAGUUGUUUAGGAUCUAUAUAAUGCUUAGUCAAGUCGUUAUGUCAGGAAAAAAAGGAGCUAUUUUUCUGGCACAGUGGUAAAAUCCUCAAGCAGCCCAAUUCAAAGUUGCAAACACAUGCUUCGAGUCAUGAGAGCGGUAUCUUCAUGCAAAAUAGCUAAAGUUAGGGCUAUGUCCAAGUCAUCCAUUGUAGUACCCUGUUGGAUGAGGACCUAGGGCAAUGAGCAUUUGAUAUAUAUGAAGAAUGGUGGAUUGACUUACUGAGAAGGUGCAGUUUACAUUUGAUUCAUUCUGUUUAUUAAAACUACUAUAAACCCAUUAAUGAGCUUGAUUGCAAAUUUUCAAGAACGUCUGGCUCUGACAAUUAGAGUGGCCUUGUUAGUAUGUUGAAUAUGUUUUUUUACUAACAAGUCUGUAUGGAGUUGAAAAUAGAUAAAUCUCAUAGUAGGAAAUCACAGUGUCUAUUGUCAUACAAUUGGGACCAAAGAAUUCAAUGUUGUUGCAUGUUGACAUACGUCCGCAGCACAAGUAAUAUAUUUUCAUAGCUCUAGCAUAGCAUAAUAUAAUCUCAUAAUCAAUAUUGUUUUUUGUAUUCUUGUCAUUGUGGAUCAGUACAUCUAUUGUUUUAUAUUCCUAGAUAAGUAAGACAAAUCCUCUGACAUUUACUUAUUUGGUGAUAUACUCUGUUAUAGGUCCUUUUAGGUUGGUUUUUUGGAUAUUCUUUAUUGAUUCCUAUGUGGAUGCUGUAUGCAUAUCAAUUUGAAUGUUAAGCCGCCAUGGAACGUAUGUGUUAAUCUUAAUUCUUAGCAACUUGCAAGUCAAUCUAUCAUCUAUGUUUUUGGCAUGCCCAGCAUACUUGGUGCCUACUUCAAAGUUCCUCAGAAGUCAAAGGUAUCACCAACUAAAAGGAAAUCAUAUAUUCUUUUAAAUUUAAAAUGAUGUUCCUUUUCUUAACAAGUUGUUGAAAUAUAUAAAUCAUCUUGUUUUGCUUUUCUUUAUAUUAAAUAACAAAAAUUUUCUCAUUGAAUGGCUGGCAUUCUUCUUAAUCUUGCAUGAUAACAGUCCUUAGACUUCUGGCGUAGGUUAACACAAGGACACACACACACAUGUAUUUAUUAUUAUCAAUGGCAUAAAUAUGUGAUGGUCUGGGAACUGGCAAAGUUUGGCUUUGAUGUGAAGGUCAAAAACUAUUGAUGGCUUUAACCUCGCCCAUUUAUAACACAUGUAGAGAUUCAGCCUUAAAGACGAUCUUAUCAGGUUGAAUGACCAUGUGCUAGAAUCCUUUCAUUUUCCUGGUUUUAAAGUUAACAAAAUGUCUAAUCACAGUGAUUUUGAGGAACUGGAAGCUGUACCAACUAUGGCUGUUAUGGAUGGUCCUCUGGAGCCACCAGCAUCAACUGCUUCCAAUGUCACUGAUCUGCCAGAUGAUCCGGCCUUUGUGAACUUCUUUAGUACAGCAACGACUUUUGGGAAUGCUUCAAAUGUGACAGCUGUUGGGCAACCUCGCCGAUCUUCAACUCUGGUCCCUUUACCUUCCCAUCCAGCUAGUGUACCCACUGCCACUGUGCCAAGCUUGCAAAUACCAUCUCCUUCCUUGCCACCAUCUACUCCUUUAAUGGCAAUCCUCGAUGUCCCUCAUGCCAAAAGCACCGGCAACCAAACCACUAAUCUUGUAAAGCCUUCUUCAUUUUUUGUUCCUCCACCGUUAUCUUCUGCACGGAUGAUGCCGCCUGUCUCUUCAUCCAUUCCUACUGCUCCACUUAAUCCUACUGUGAGUCUACGAUGCCCGUAUGGAGCUCCAUUGCUUCAAUUAUUUCCACCACCCAAUCCUCCACCAUCUCUCACUCCUGCCUCUGUUCCUACUGCAAAUUAUGGACCAGUUAUUAGCAAAGAUAAAGUUCGGGAUGCACUUCUGGUGCUUGUUCAGGUUAGGUUCUCUUGUUGUGGGUAUGAUGAAUUGUUUGAAACCAGAACUGAAACUGAUUCAUGUUUAUGUUGGUUAAGUUUCAGAAUGAAAAAAAUAAAAGUGACUAAGCCCACUUCCUCCGACUCCUUUGUUUAUUGAUGACUGAUAAUCAUGGACUCACUACGUGCUUAUAGCAUAAUGAAGAAUUGACUGUCCUUGGAUCUGAAGCUUGCAUGUAAUAGUAUUAGUUUGCCUGCAUAAAACAUAAGCAGCAAAAAUGUAAGCCAAGAAAUGUUGUUCACUCUGGCCGGUAGGCAUAGGAAAAUAUUAAUAGUAGUCAUUUUUUCUUACUCUGUUUAAGCAAUUGUCAACCUUUGGCGAUUUCAUAGCCCGAAAGCUAUUAUGGGGUCAGGGCUCAUUGUUGGAGCUUGCAUUAUGAUGUGGUUUGCUUAAUAUCAGUCCAACACCUCUGUUACUGAUUCUUAAUCUUGCCAUUGCUAUAGUUCCAAACACAUCUGACAAGCUUUCCUUGCCAAUGUUAGGACAAUCAAUUUAUUGACAUGGUGUAUCGAGCGCUGCUGAAUCCACACCAUUCUUGACAAAUUGGAAUGGGUCAUGACCAUAUCUACUCGCUGGGGUUUUUGUUCACUGUGAAGCUUUUUUUCCCAUCAAGUGUGAAAGAUCAAAUCUGUAUAGCAUUUUGCCCGGUUUGAUGACGGUACUCAUCUUAAAAAAAUAUAUAUAUAUAUUUGAUUUGUCUCUUAUUUUUUCUGAAGCUGAUCAAUAUAUUCCAAUCUUUGGUUGUCAUUCCAUACUCGUUGUUAGUAAGGCGCUGAUGUCUCGUGGGCUUGGCUAUUGAUUUCUUUGUUGUG
rnacentral:misc_RNA from 1 species